rnacentral:lncRNA from 1 species
CAAAAAAUAGAAAUCCUUUUUUACAAUUCAUUGCAAGGAUAUAGUUCCAGUUUCUUAUAAUGUAAUGAAUGUAUGGCAGAUAAUGGUCCAAUAGUGCAAACGAAAGGCGCAUAUAAUCAAAAUGAUAAUGGAGCGUAUUGUACUGCUUGUAUAAUACAAUCCAUACCAAUAUGGAAAUCAUAUCUCAAGGCAACAUUCCUCUCUUUGAUUUUUGUAAUAAUUGUACAUGUAAGAGCAGAGCAGCGAGAAGUGGGGGGACAAAGGCCUUUAUUGCUUCAUUAGGCAGCUGGCGUUCUGAUGGUCCGGCCUGUCGACAGUCGUUCCUUAAUUUCCAAGGGAAGCUUCUCCUCUUUCUGCAGACAUGAUUUACUGUUCACGUCAGCUCCCUUUUCAGCCCUUUCUCUGUGAAGACUCACAAUUAGAUAAAAUGAGCUUUGAGGGCCCUUUUGAUCAGCACCUUCUGCCUGCUUGGCCAGUGAUCUGGGUUUGGGUCAGACUGGAGCCAGGCUGCCGGAAGCUUGGGUGGGAAGGAAGAGAAGGCCUUGGUAGAGGCCUUUGAGAGCCUCGGGCUGCACAGCCUCCUUGGCCGGCUAGGCAAGGGGCAUGUGAGGGAGUGGAAGAGCAACAGGCACAGGCCCUACCUGCACCGCCUUGCAUUCUAGAAAGGUCAGCGCACACUCAAGGUGGGAAAUGUCCACUCUGAAGUCGGGCCUCAAGUGGAUCUUGGCUUAUGUACCAACUAGAGUAUGACCUUGGCCUUGACCUCUCUCAGCAGCAGCAACCAGAGAUGUUGGCCAAGGUUGUAAAGUUGGGUGGCAGUGGUGAGGGGAGAGCCCAACUUCCUAAAGAGGUCAGUGUUUUCUCCCAGGUUCUGGGAAUGGAAAGAUGCUGGCAGAAAGCAAAUCCCACACCAGAGGAGUAGAUUGACAAGUAACCUGGAAGUUAUUUUUUGGACUUUUUGGAUCAGAGCAAACUUGGAUCUUGCUCCUAAAUGCUGUGUACCCAGCUACUUCUCCUGGCCCAGUGGGUCCUGGGGCCAUGCCUUCUGGGAGUCUGGAUGGGGCGGGGUGAGGUGCGGUAGCCCUGGCCCAGGGCGCCCCAUCAUUGUAAGGUGGAAGGGAAACUGCGGAUGGUGGUCUGUAAGGGUCAGGGGUCAGGCGCUGAGCAAAGGCGGGGCAGGAAUCCGGCGGCCCAGAACUGGAGGUGAGCCCUGGCAGGCCCAAGGGAGCCUUCGGCUUUUCUUGGGCGCCGGAGUCCGCAGCACAGGCUGGCUGAGGGCUGGUAAGGGAGCCGUGCUGAUGGGGCAGAGUCCUGGGCACAGUCCUUUGUGGGCUUUGUCUUGGAGGCACUGCCACUUCUUGACGCUGGCCUGGGGACGCUGCCAGAGAGACCAUGCUGUGUGACCCUCACUGCUGCUGAGGCCAGAGAGGGAGGUGAUGUCCUGGGCUACCCCGGGAAAUGGGGCAGAGAGGAAACUCAGCGGAAGCCAGGUCUCCAUUUUAAGUUCUUUGGCGAGAAAGCAUAACGUGCUGAUGCCUCCCAGGUGUGUCUGCAGAGCAAACCCUGGGGGCAGCCCCAGCUCUCAGGAGGAUGGCCCCGGGGGGCGGUGGGGGGUCCCACCUCCUCUUCUUGUCUCCACACCAACAUCCACUCCAAUCCACACAUACCCUGUAGGCUCCUGUGGUUAAACUCACGUCCCUGAGGCCCAGACUCCCUGAGCUUAAAUUGCAGUUCCACCAUGUUCGACCUUUGUGGGCUUGGCCAAGGCCCUGGCCCUCUCGAAGCCACAGUGUUCUCUUGUGUACGACGGGGAAUAACUGCAGCGAGGAAGUGGGAAGAGGACUGAGUGAGUUCAGCAGGGAGUGAACACCUGGCCGUAUGCACGCUAAGGCCGUAGCCAUCCGUCACCAGGUAGGGACAACAGGUUCACCUCCUGGGGGCAGGCCUUGACCUGCUCAGGACUCUGAGGUGUGUCUGCACUAACGGGCCUCAGGAAGGGGUCAUCUUUCUUUCUCUCUCCAGGUCACCGCAAGCAGUGGGGUAACGUGCACAGGAAGGGGUAACGUGCACAGAAAGGUUACGUCCUGGGCAGUGGGAAGCAGUGGGGUAACGUGCACAGGAAGGGGUAACGUGCACAGGAAGGGGUAACGUGCACAGGAAGGUGACGUCCCGGGCAGUGGGAAGCAGUGGGGUGACGUGCACAGGAAGGGGUAACGUGCACAGGAAGGUGACGUCGCGGGCAGUGGGAAGCAGUGGGGUGACGUGCACAGGAAGGGGUAACGUGCACAGGAAGGUGACGUCGCGGGCAGUGGGAAGCAGUGGGGUAACGUGCACAGGAAGGGGUAACGUGCACAGGAAGGUGACGUCCCGGGCAGUGGGAAGCAGUGGGGUGACGUGCACAGGAAGGGGUAACGUGCACAGGAAGGUGACGUCGCGGGCAGUGGGAAGCAGUGGGGUGACGUGCACAGGAAGGGGUAACGUGCACAGGAAGGUGACGUCGCGGGCAGUGGGAAGCAGUGGGGUGACGUGCACAGGAAGGGGUAACGUGCACAGGAAGGUGACGUCCCGGGCAGUGGGAAGCAGUGGGGUAACGUGCACAGGAAGGGGUAACGUGCACAGGAAAGUGACGUCGCGGGCAGUGGGAAACAGUGGGGUAACGUGCACAGGAAGGGGUAACGUGCACAGGAAGGGGUAACGUGCACAGGAAGGUGUCAUCGCGGGCAGUGGGAAGCAGUGGGGUAACGUGCACAGGAAGGCUAUUGUGAAUAAUACUGCUGUGAACAUGGGUGUACAAAUGCCUCUUCAAGACUGUUUUCAGUUUCCUUGAGUCUAUAGCCAGAAGUGGAGUUGCUGGAUCAUAUGGCUGCUCCUAGACAUCCCAGCCAUAGCUGCCAGGCUGCCGGAGCCCAUGUGGACAGAAGGCGCUCCACCCUCUCACCGUGCUGUGGUAGACGUUACAUCUUACUAUGAAGCAAAGGGAGGCAGAGGGUGCUGAUGGGCAGCAGUCACCAGGAUCGCAGCCCCAGCUCUGUCACUAAAGAGUGCAGGUUUUGAAUGGGUCACUGACUGUUGGAGUGGCAGGGUCCUCCUGCCCAUAGAUAAAAUGGCGUUUCUGCUGGUUACUGCAUCAUGCAAGAACAGCCGGGUGGUUGCUCACCAAACCUGAAGGGUGUGUUUGGGUUGGUCUGACUUAGCAUAUAAGCCAUGUAGCUGAUACAAAACUUACUUUGGG